CCCGACUUUGGAUUCAGCAACACCAGAAUCUUUCGUUGCUCACCUGGACACGCUGUAAUCAAUUCAAAGGAGUUUUUGCUUCCUUUUUCCUGUUCUUUUUCCAUUUGUACACUGCUAUGUCAUAUGACGGGUCGAAGAUCAUAAUAAUAUCCGAGUUUGAUUAUAUUUUGUUAAUCACGAGGUCCAGAAUAUCUUUGAAAAUUUUAUGAGAAAUCUUUGGCCAUAUAAUCUCGUACAAUAAGGAGAAGUUAAUCGAGGGUAAAGAAAAUUUCUACGAAGCAAGAAACCCCUGGAUGAUUACGUGACGUGUAACGCAACGAGCGUGUUUUAAUCUUUGGAAGACGCCCCUGCAGACGCCACCGCGGCAAACCCCUUUGCAGAGAUUUCUCUGCAGUUCAGUCGUCUUCGAUUAUUCUUGAGUAAUUUCUUACAAAUGUAUUCUAAUGUAGUUUUUAUUUUAUCACGAAGCAUGCUGUUUAUUUUUGCGUAAAAUAUUUGCGAUACAAUUUUCUGUUAAUUAUAUACGAUUAUUGGUUAAUUCGCUUAUAAUUUAUGCAUUUUUAUAAAAUUAUAUUUCCUAUUUAAUAAUUCUGAAUUGCACGAAGGAUUUCUUUGCUCGCAAUUAAUUGAGAUUGAAAUACGAUAAAAAAAAGAACAAGAAAAUUGAUUACUGCGAUAAUAAUUGAGCAUUUCUUAAUUAAUCGAGAUGUAUGGACUAUCAUUGGAAUAAGCUUACUACUAAAUAUUUAUAUAAACGUGAGUAACUGAUUUUAUGAAAGUACAUAGUAACAAAUUUUUAAAAAUUAUGUGUAGUAUAGUCAAGUAAAUAUUUUGUACGACUUUACAAAACACAUUUUAUACCGAUGGUUGCGUUUAUUUAUAUAAAACCUAACAACGUAAAAAAUCUGUGUUCGAUCGAAUUUAUAGAACAAGAAAGUCCAUCUUCUGAAAAAAGGAUUGCCUACAUUUCCGGGAGAAAAAUGGAGGAAAUAGAUUAUCAAACUUACGAACGUUACUAUUUUCUGUCUGAGCAGCAAUUUAAACAGGCUCUGCUUGUAUUUACGUAAACCUAGGAGUUAUGGAUCGUUAAACGCAACUAGUGAAAGUACAGAUAAAGUAACACCAACUAUAAAAGGUCUGAGAGUCGAAAGAAAACUUUUGGAGUGAAUUAAUCGUAUAUCAUGUUAUAUCACUCCUCGAAGCUUCAUUUAUAUAAUUUGACAAAAAUUGUAUUCAACAUAGCGGAUAAAAAAGGUAUAAUAACACAAUCGUCGCGCAUGACUGUUAUUUAAUCUCUUUACAAUUUUCUGCUAAACUUUGCAAAAUUAUCUUGCGAAAAAUAUGAUACGCGCGAUUUAGUUUCCAAAGUGUAUUUAAGGCUAAUUUGACUUGUUUAAGAUUUUUAAUCGGAAGAUAAGAAUUUAUUAAAACAAUUUGCGACAAUUGUUACUAGAAACUGAAAACAGUUUUCAAUCAAAGUCAAAGUCAACAAAUUUUAGCAUCGCAUUAUAAAAAUCGCUUUUUCUGCAAAUUGGAAUUCAAGGUCGACGACAAUAAAGUACAUGUGUAUUUUGCACGGAUUAUUCUCGUACCACCAGCCAUCUUUCGCAUACUGAUCUACGCCAUAUGCUAUACCUAUACGUACAAUAUACGUAUAUAUACAUGCAUAGAUGCAUAAGUGGAAAAAAAUAUAUUAUCAAAGAUAACGGAUAUUGUGAAACGAUUCCUGACCAAAAAUGCAAAUGAAUUUCGCCCUUAUCCAAUUUCAUCACAGAAUCGGCUCCGAUUCGAGGAGCAACAAAGCGAAAAGCUUUGGUUCGGACAACUGAACCAAUACUCGAUAACCGCAAACAACGAACAACGAUCGAUCCCUGUAACGAGAUGCAAUCAGCAAUUUUAUGUAGGUCAUUUUGAAUUAAUUUGGCUGGUAGCCACAUGGUCCGUUGCUUGAGAAAAAUGUCGAAACACUUCUGGCGACGCGAAGACGCGACAUAUACACGACCCAAUUGUUCUUUUGUCUUGCGUCUUAUGUACGCACGGUUUGCCACAUUUGUUUCGCGUCGAUAUCACCAAUAACCUCAUAAAUAAAGCAUCUAUCCAUAUGGCCGAAUGUUAUAUAACGGAUGACCACGUAAGUAAUAGGUGGCCAUUCAAACGCGCACUGUAAACAAACUUGUCAAGAGAACAAUUUGAGAAUUGACGGAAUCAGCCAGUCGCUAUGAAACUUUUAGCGUAUCCCGAUCACCAACUAUUCAAACCGGUGGUCAGGUUUAAGCUAUGAAUGUAUUAUUUCCGAUUCCUAAUGCUAUUCAUAUUUUCGCGUCAUAUCUUGAAUAGAUGGAGAAAGAAGGAAUUGUUCAUCAUCGUUGUUACGUGUUUGGACCUACGGACUUCGACUAUUUACCGAUUGAUGUUUUAUUUUUUUUUACUGCUCUUUUUAUUAUUGGCAUUUCAAAUAACACAUUGUUUCGCAAGAGUAUUUGAAUACUUAUAGAAACAUGAUAGACUAUACUAUAUAUGUUUACUGUAUCUACUUAUGGAAGCUAUCAACAUAUUAUAAAAAAACAGUUUGAAAUUUCAUUACUACUGUAAAACACGGCUCGUAAUUAUAUUAUGGGUAGAAUUUGAAACGAAUCUUACGAUCCUAUUGAUAAAAAGUUUCUAUACUAAGUAUUCUAAUACUUUUGUAAGAUAUAAGUAUCAUCCGCGUUUUAAAUAUGCUAACUCACAACAGCAUUUUAAUUAAAGUUAUUACUUUAAAGCACCUGCAGGACUUGAAAGUCUGUAGUUCGCGUGAAAUCGACGUCACUUUAAAGCCUUCUAAAAAAGCUGAAAAUCACACACGAAUAAAUAUUCUAGCUCCACUCUGGUAAUCAUUCGUGUUCCAACGUUGCAACGACGCACGAGAGAAUAUUUGACGAGGAAAGCAUGCCUCUGUUGCAUUUAGAAAUUAGAACCCUGUGAAUGCACGGACCACCACAAUACUCAAGCUAUAUGCGAGUGUGUAAUAUAUUUAUAUAUUUACGAGGAUGAGCAUUUUUAGAGUUGAACGGUACGUGGCAAGUGUAAGUUUGCAAAGAAAUUUUAGAAAGCAUUAAUCAAGGGAAGCGUAUCCUUAGCGAAUUCAAAACGGUAUGUAUUGUGCAGUGAAUAAUAUUGUGUAAUAUAUUACUAAAUAUUACUUAAUAGCAAAAUAAAUAAUAUUAGAUAUGUAAUAGCAGAACUCUGUAUAAAUUUUGCCAGCAUAUUUUAUAAUAUUAUACCAUAUGGACAAAAGUUUUUAAAAGCAUUAUAAAAGCCACAACAAAAAUAUGGAACGUGAAAAAAUGCUAAUGAUUUUACUCUUAAUAUAUUACUUAUUACAAGAUAAAUAAUUCAUGUAAACAUUAUACGUUAAAACAAGCUAGACAUACUGAAUUAAUGUUACGCUUGUGGAAUAUGCUCAACAGUAUGUUGAUGUUAGGGAUUAGCAUGUAUCGAUACAGGUGAAUAGCACACUUUGGAAUGUGAAAUAACAUGUGGUCAGCGUGUAGCAUCGACCAAUUUAUUAUUUAAUAUAUCAAAUCCACUAAACCAAUAUAAAAUAAACACACCAUUCAUCCAUUCGCCAUAUAUUAUUGAAUUAUAUAAACGAUACUUUAUCAAACAUAAAAGUUCUCUAAGUAUACUAAUAUAAAACUUGAAAUAAAUUAAAAAAUAUGUACAAUAU